rnacentral:rRNA from 1 species
CGAUGAUGCCCAGCUUGCUGGGUGGAUUAGUGGCGAACGGGUGAGUAACACGUGAGUAACCUGCCCUUGACUUCGGGAUAACUCCGGGAAACCGGGGCUAAUACCGGAUAUGAGCCGUCCUCGCAUGGGGGUGGUUGGAAAGUUUUUCGGUCAGGGAUGGGCUCGCGGCCUAUCAGCUUGUUGGUGGGGUGAUGGCCUACCAAGGCGACGACGGGUAGCCGGCCUGAGAGGGCGACCGGCCACACUGGGACUGAGACACGGCCCAGACUCCUACGGGAGGCAGCAGUGGGGAAUAUUGCACAAUGGGCGCAAGCCUGAUGCAGCGACGCCGCGUGAGGGAUGAAGGCCUUCGGGUUGUAAACCUCUUUCAGCAGGGAAGAAGCGCAAGUGACGGUACCUGCAGAAGAAGCGCCGGCUAACUACGUGCCAGCAGCCGCGGUAAUACGUAGGGCGCAAGCGUUGUCCGGAAUUAUUGGGCGUAAAGAGCUCGUAGGCGGUCUGUCGCGUCUGGUGUGAAAACUCGAGGCUCAACCUCGAGCUUGCAUCGGGUACGGGCAGACUAGAGUGCGGUAGGGGAGACUGGAAUUCCUGGUGUAGCGGUGGAAUGCGCAGAUAUCA